rnacentral:rRNA from 1 species
CUAAGCAUAUCCAAUAAGCGGGAGGAAAAGAAACUAACAAGGAUUCCCUAGUAACUGCGAGUGAAGAGGGAAAAGCUCAAAUUUAAAAUCUGGCAGUCUCUGAUUGUCCGAGUUGUAAUUUAGAGAAGUGUUACCCGUGUUGGACCGUGUACAAGUCUCCUGGAAUGGAGCGUCAUAGAGGGUGAGAAUCCCGUCUUUGAUACGGAUCCCAAUACAUUGUGGUACACUCUCGAAGAGUCGAGUUGUUUGGGAAUGCAGCUCUAAAUGGGUGGUAAAUUCCAUCUAAAGCUAAAUAUUGGGGAGAGACCGAUAGCGAACAAGUACCGUGAGGGAAAGAUGAAAAGAACUUUGGAAAGAGAGUUAAACAGUACGUGAAAUUGCUGAAAGGGAAACGCUUGAAGUCAGUCGCGUUGGUCGGGGAUCAGCCUUCCUUAUGGUUGGUGCAUUUCCUGAUCAACGGGUCAACAUCAGUUUUGAUCAAUGGAUAAAAGUUUGAGGGAUGUGGCAUCUUCGGGUGUGUUAUAACCUCUUGCUAUAUACAUUGAUUGGGACUGAGGAACUCAGCACGCCGCAAGGCCGGGUUUUUAACCACGUUCGUGCUUAGGAUGUUGGCAUAAUGGCUUUAAUCGACCCGUCUUGAAACACGGACCAAGGAGUCUAACAUGCCUGCGAGUGUUUGGGUGGAAAACCCGAGCGCGCAAUGAAAGUGAAAGUUAGGAUCUCUGUCGUGGAGAGCACUGACGCCCGGCCCAGACCUUUUGUGACGGUGCCGCGGUUGAGCAUGUAUGUUGGGACCCGAAAGAUGGUGAACUAUGCCUGAAUAGGGUGAAGCCAGAGGAAACUCUGGUGGAGGCUCGUAGCGAUUCUGACGUGCAAAUCGAUCGUCGAAUUUGGGUAUAGGGCGAAAGACUAAUCGAACCAUCUAGUAGCUGGGUUCCUGCCGAAGU